rnacentral:rRNA from 1 species
GAGGCAGCAGUGGGGAAUAUUGCACAAUGGGCGCAAGCCUGAUGCAGCCAUGCCGCGUGUGUGAAGAAGGCCUUCGGGUUGUAAAGCACUUUCAGCGGGGAGGAAGGCGUUAAGGUUAAUAACCUUGGCGAUUGACGUUACCCGCAGAAGAAGCACCGGCUAACUCCGUGCCAGCAGCCGCGGUAAUACGGAGGGUGCAAGCGUUAAUCGGAAUUACUGGGCGUAAAGCGCACGCAGGCGGUCUGUCAAGUCGG